CACGUAGGGCGCGAGCGUUGUCCGGAAUUAUUGGGCGUAAAGAGCUCGUAGGCGGCCUGUUGCGUCCGCUGUGAAAGCCCGGGGCUUAACCCCGGGUCGCAGUGGAUACGGGCAGGCUAGAGGUAGGUAGGGGAGAAUGGGAAUUCCCGGUGUAGCGGUGAAAUGCGCAGAGUAUCGGGAGGAACACCGGUGGCGAAGGCGGUUCUCUGGGCCGAUACUGACGCUGAGGAGCGAAAGCGUGGGGAGCGAACAGG
rnacentral:rRNA from 1 species